rnacentral:rRNA from 1 species
UACGUAGGGUCCGAGCGUUGUCCGGAAUUAUUGGGCGUAAAGAGCUCGUAGGCGGUCUGUCGCGUCUGCUGUGAAAACGCGGGGCUCAACCCCGCGCCUGCAGUGGGUACGGGCAGACUAGAGUGCGGUAGGGGAGACUGGAAUUCCUGGUGUAGCGGUGGAAUGCGCAGAUAUCAGGAGGAACACCGGUGGCGAAGGCGGGUCUCUGGGCCGUUACUGACGCUGAGGAGCGAAAGCAUGGGGAGCGAACAGGAUUAGAUACCCUGGUAGUCCAUGCCGUAAACGUUGGGCACUAGGUGUGGGACCCAUUCCACGGGUUCCGUGCCGCAGCUAACGCAUUAAGUGCCCCGCCUGGGGAGUACGGCCGCAAGGCUAAA